GGAAGGAUGUAACGAGACUGGCUGCAGAAAGACCGUGCUGGACUACUCUACAAGUAACUGCUUCAUGCGUUGCACGACAUGACAUUGUUCAGGUGCAACUGCAGAUGGAAAGAAAAAAGCCAGUCCAAGUCAUUUUACUUAGUAAGCUCCUCAAGGUGCUGGGACAGGGCUUCCAUUUUACAAGGUGACUGUUGACUGGUGUGCUGGGAGAGGACAAAAGGAAGUAGACUAAAUCUUAGGGCUGGAUCUUCAUUCGAGGCCAUUCCAGGAACGAUCGUACCAGAGAAGAAUUUGUCUUAUCUCGGAGCAGAUACAUGUAUUUUACAUUGGACUCAGGAAUACAUGUACUUUUCCUAUUUUUUUUACCCUUGUCUUUGAAAUAUGCACGGCUGUUAAUGAUUUUCUAUAUGUUACGGCAUUAUAACCAGUAGGAAAUGGGGCCUUUGGCUAAAUAUAUAAAAAAUAUAACAUCCAUUGGCUAAAUAUAAUAUACCGAUAACGUUGAACGUUUAGUACACUAGUACAUGUUGUAUCAGGUAGAUUGGGAUGAAAAACAAUUACAUCUUAUGUUGAUUGAUGAAAGGGCUUUGGAGGGUUUGUGCAUUAGUUUCUGUGGGUGCAUAAAAUGUAGUUCAUAAACCAACCACAAGGGGGCGCUGAAGCACUGCAAUAACUAAGAUGCUGUAUAUACACAUUGUACAGUCAUUCAAUACUAAAUAUUGCAUCAAGAUAUAUUUAUCAUCACUUUUGUCAUGUAUUUUUCUCUCAAUACUGCAUAAUGUACAGCUUUAUAAAAAUAAAACUGCACAGUCAGAUAAUGAUGAAGGUGUUCACAAAAUCUUUAUUGUAUGACUGACUCUUCUUGAGAGUUAAAUGUCAGUGGUUAUGCACUAUUAAGAAAUAUUUCAAACAAAAUACAUCUUGAUUUUUGUACAAAACAGGAAUAGGUACAGCCAAGUGUAUUACUCAGUAGAAAACAACCUUGUUUCAUGCGGGCAAUUUUCUGAAUGAUUAAAUGAAUUUUUAACCACUAAUUGAACAUUACUAUUGUUACAAAGAAGGCUUCAUCUGUGGUAUUGCACUGUAAUGUUUCAGUCUGACAUUACAUAAUGCUUUACAUGUAAAUUCACCUCUCAUAAGUCUACUGCAUGGUUACUCCAAAACUUACAGUACAUACAAAACAAUGAGAAAUGGAAUAAUUUCACUUCUUAGAAUGUCUUGAACAACUGAGUAUCAUUCUGUAGUGUGCAUUACUUGAUGCUGCAUUUAAUUGAUCUCAAAUUUAGAAUUACUUCAGGAGAGUUCAUGUUACAAUUGUAUGACUGUUAAGUGUUUCAAUGUACAACUACAUGUAGAUGAGUAUAAAACCUGUGGUAUCAUAUCACAUUUUAUACAAUAUCAUAGAGUGUACUGAUCUUUCAAAUAAUACAAUAUUUUAAAAAAACACCAUUGACAGAAUUACUUUACAUUAUGAAUUCCUAUUGCAAUACUGGCAAAUGAUGCACAUUGCAGUAUGCAUCAAUUUAACUAUUUCAACAACCAGUGUAGGACUCCCCAGCUGUACUACAGUGUGGCCCGAGGGCAAUAGCAUUUGAGAUGUGCACAGCCCUACAUAAUGAGAGAUAGGAAAAUACCCCUUUUUUUACACAUACAGAAAGGUACACUAAUAUACAGAUCAGGUCAGGUUAAUCCGAGAACCCAAAAAUAACAUUGUUGUCACUGAAGAAAGAUUGUUGUAAAAAACUAAACCGUUACAAAGGCUUGAAAGAGGACCUGGUACUUUACAUUAUGGGAACUGUAAUUCAUUAAUCAUACAAAAUGUAGUACUCAAAAGCCUUGAUGUAAAGACUCUGGAAACUGUAUUUACACAGGGCUUACUAUAGCUAAUGAUCACUGCUAAGAGUUUUCAAUGUUGUCAAUAGUCUGAGUUUACGUGCCUACAUUUGUAUUGCUGUGGUGCUGUGUACCUAAACUCAUUACAAUAACAUCCAUAAUUACGAAUUAAGUACACAAUCAGGUUCAGCUUAAAUCUUACAGGUACAUGUACCUCACCUGUAUGAUUGUGUGCUUGAAAUCCUUUUUUGGGUCAUGUGAAAACAGUGUAAGAUUUGCAUGUUUUACAAGAUUUUACAUGCAAUUUUAUAUGCAAAAUACAGUCAGAAAUAAACACAAUUAUAAUAGAUCAGUAAUAAACACACAACAGGAAAAUGUUUUUGUCUUUUUUUCAGCACAAAUUUCAUAAUCUAUGGAAGGUUAAGGAUUGUUUAGAACAAAAAAGAGAAUAUAAGUGAGAGAUAGUUUUUUGCAUGUCUGGAACUGGUUCCCAAAUGUUUUCUUUUUCUUUUAACUGAACCUAAAAGUUUUAUAGGUCAGAGUCUGGUGAAGUGCAUAGAAACACAGCACUACUAGUACAUGCCUAGGAAUGAUGACAAUCAUAUUUUUGUAGUAUGACAUUAUGGAAUCCAUUUGUUACAGUCAGUAGUAAAUGUGACUGGUUCGAUUAA